GUUGAAGAGAGCUAGAGACCAGUUUAAGUCUUUGUGAUGGAACCCACAGAAUAGAUGUUAAUUAUAUUACCUACUUUCCAGACACUGACAGGGCAACUGACACAGUACUGCAUAUUCUGUUUAACGACCGUGGGGAAGUUUGACAGCUUAACAAAUCAUCCUUGACUCCCUUGCAGAGAGGAGAAUUCAGCUUCCCUUGGACUUUGGCUUUAAGACCUCACAUUGUUUUCUCAGAAAACAGACCUGAAGACCCGGUAGGUGUUAACGGUGCUCUGAUCCUUUCAGGUGUCUUCGUUUCAAUAAUAAUAAUAAACACCAGUUUCUUAGCACUGAAUAUGAGCAAUCUGUAGAUGUUAUCUCCUUUAACCUUAACUCCAUGAGGCAGGUGACAUCAUCCGCAUUUAUAGUUAGGAAGCUGAGACUCAGAAAGGCUAAGUGCCACCACCCUACAUCACAUAACUAGAUCAUUCUGAAACCACAAGACAAACCAAGAUGUCUAAUGGCUCCAGAAUCCAUGUUCCUGGCACUCCCGCCCAGGUGCCUUGAGGCAACAGUAGCAGCAGUUGCAAAGCUCUUCACUUGAGAGGCCUUUUUCCAAGGGGAGAAGGGUCUGGAAACUUGGAGCGCUCAUGACCCACCUGGCUUCUCGCUCCAAGCAAUUCCACAAUACAUCACCGGCAUCUAACAUUCGUAAGUAAUGAAGCCGAAAUUAGUCCCUCGGAAGUUUACAGAUCAGUAACCUAAAGUCAUCUAGUACAGGACAAACGCCACCAUGAUAAAGAAAGCAGUGACUGUAUCUUUAAAUCUGGGGUGGUUUGGGCAGGAGGCUCUCAGCCCCGAAGUGAUCGGUUGACUGCAUGUCUUCUGCUCACUGAGAACCGUGCUAUCAAGACUGGAGAACUCCAGAGUGGUCGAGGCAGGGCACAGGUGAAAGGGCAGAGUUGGAAGCCUGAACAAACUUUUCCCCAUGACUUACAGAACUUCCCUAGUUCUGCGUUUCCCAUACUUUCUGAGGGGGAAGUAGGCUCCUUUUUAGUCUUCUUUUCCCCAUGCCUCGCAGAGCAGCAGUACUGGAACCACUCAGCCACGCGGACUGGGCAGCAUCUAAAGGUCACGUCGCUGGCGGGUGCAGUUUGAGUAGAAGUGAUCGCAGAUGUGCAGGCCAACAUCCAGAGGGUCAGCAGGGCCAGGGCCUGAGCCAUGGGGCCAUCCACGUUUUCUGGAGUGGAAGGGGAAUACGAGUCAAGACAGGAUUGAAGAACAGGAAGAUCGCGCGGAGCUCUGGAAGAGAAGCAGCAGAGUCGCCCUUUGUCCCGGUGUCCUCUUUAACAAGGCAUUGGUGAAGGAAUAGUGCAUACUGAUGGCCUACUGUGUACUUAGCACUAUGCUGCAUGCUUUAUAGAGGCCCUUAGGCACAGUAAUGUUAGAAAGCCCUCGUUUGUCCUAACUCUGCUACCAACUAGCUUGGAGAAAUUGGGAAAAUCAUUCAAUCUCUCUGAGUGUUUAUGUCAUCUUUAAAAUUGCUGCAGCGGGAGAGGCCACAGCACUGAGAGGCCUGCGUACCGCAAAACAAA